rnacentral:rRNA from 1 species
GAAUCGCUAGUAAUCGUAGAUCAGAAUGCUACGGUGAAUACGUUCCCGGGCCUUGUACACACCGCCCGUCACACCAUGGGAGUGGGUUGCAAAAGAAGUAGGUAGCUUAACCUUCGGGAGGGCGCUUACCACUUUGUGAUUCAUGACUGGGGUGAAGUCGUAACAAGGUAACCGUAGGGGAACCUGCGGUUGGAUCACCUCCUUA